rnacentral:rRNA from 1 species
UACGGGGGGUGCAAGCGUUGUCCGGAUUUACUGGGCGUAAAGGGCGCGUAGGCGGCUUGAUCAGUCGGACUUUGAAGAGCGGGGCUCAACCCCGUGGUGGGUUCGGGACGGUCGAGCUGGGGCGCGGUCGAGGGGGAUGGAAUGCCGGGUGUAGUGGUGAAAUGCGUAGAUAUCGAGAGGAACACCAGUGGCGAAGGCGAGUCUCUAGACAACUCCUGACACUGAGGCACGAAAGCUAGGGGAGCAAACAGG